GCUGGGUGUGGUGGCGUGCGCCUGUAGUCCCAGCUACUCGGGAGGCUGAGGCAGGAGAAUUGCUUGAACCCAGGAGGGCAGAGGUUGCAGUGAGCCAAGAUCACACCACUGCACUCCAGCCUGGUGACAGAGCAAGACUCUGUCUCUC
rnacentral:sRNA from 1 species